AAACUGAAGAGUUUGAUCAUGGCUCAGAUUGAACGCUGGCGGUAUGCUUAACACAUGCAAGUCGAACGGUAGCAGCUCUUCGGAGGCUGACGAGUGGCGGACGGGUGAGUAACGCGUAGGAAUCUGCCUUGUAGUGGGGGACAACUUGUGGAAACGCAAGCUAAUACCGCAUACGCCCUAAGGGGGAAAGGAGGGGAUCGUAAGACCUUUCGCUAUAAGAUGAGCCUGCGUUGGAUUAGCUAGUUGGUGGGGUAAAGGCCUACCAAGGCGACGAUCCAUAGCUGGUCUGAGAGGACGAUCAGCCACACUGGGACUGAGACACGGCCCAGACUCCUACGGGAGGCAGCA
rnacentral:rRNA from 1 species